GGUCCUACGGGACGCAGCAGUGGGGAAUCUUCCGCAAUGGGCGCAAGCCUGACGGAGCAAUGCCGCGUGAACGAAGAAGGUCUUCGGAUUGUAAAGUUCUGUCCUUAUCGAAGAGAGGGUAUAGAGUGAAAAAUGAUAUACUAGGACGGUAGAUGAGGAGGAAGCCCCGGCUAACUACGUGCCAGCAGCCGCGGUAAUACGUAGGGGGCGAGCGUUGUCCGGAAUCACUGGGCGUAAAGGGCGCGUAGGCGGUAAUAUAAGUCAGAUGUGAAAGCCCGGGGCUCAACCCCGGGACUGCAUUUGGA
rnacentral:rRNA from 1 species